GAAGGUAUAGCUCAGCAGUAGAGCACAUGCUUAGCAUGCACAAGGUUCUGGGUUCAAACCCCAGUACCUUCA
rnacentral:tRNA from 1 species